rnacentral:Y_RNA from 1 species
GGCUGGUCCGGGUGCAGUGGUGUUUGCAACUAAUUGAUCACAAGGAGCUACAGGUUCCUCUGUUCCUUCUCCACUCCCACUGCUUCACUGGACCAGCCUAAA